rnacentral:rRNA from 1 species
UACGAAGGGUGCAAGCGUUAAUCGGAAUUACUGGGCGUAAAGGGUGCGUAGGCGGUUAUUUAAGUCUGCCGUGAAAUCCCCGGGCUCAACCUGGGAAUGGCGGUGGAUACUGGAUAGCUAGAGUGUGUCAGAGGAUGGUGGAAUUCCCGGUGUAGCGGUGAAAUGCGUAGAGAUCGGGAGGAACAUCAGUGGCGAAGGCGGCCAUCUGGGACAACACUGACGCUGAGGCACGAAAGCGUGGGGAGCAAACAGG